GGGGUUAGACAGUACAGACAGGUCAUUAAGGAGCAGGUAGGGGUUAGACAGUACAGAGACAGGUCAUUAAGGAGCAGGUAGGGGUUAGACAGUACAGAGACAGGUCAUUAAGGAGAAGGUAGGGGUUAGACAGUACAGAGACAGGUCAUUAAGGAGCAGGUAGGGGUUAGACAGUACAGAGACAGGUCAUUAAGGAGCAGGUAGGGGUUAGACAGUACAGAGACAGGUCAUUAAGGAGCAGGUAGGGGUUAGGCAGUACAGAGACAGGUCAUUAAGGAGCAGGUAGGGGUUAGACAGUACAGAGACAGGUCAUUAAGGAGCAGGUAGGGGUUAGACAGUACAGAGACAGGUCAUUAAGGAGCAGGUAGGGGUUAGACAGUACAGAGACAGGUCAUUGAGGAGCAGGUAGGGGUUAGACAGUACAGAGACAGGUCAUUAAGGAGCAGGUAGGGGUUAGACAGUACAGAGACAGGUCAUUGAGGAGCAGGUAGGGGUUAGACAGUACAGAGACAGGUCAUUGAGGAGCAGGUAGGGGU
ensembl:lncRNA